GCCAGGAGGUGAUGCCUCAUUUAACACAGUAAAUUCAUCAGGCUUAAGCCAUGUUUCAGUCAGGCCAAUCACAUUAAGAUUAUGAUCAGUGAUUAGUUCAUUGACUAUAAUUGCCUUUGAAGUAAGGGAUCUAACAUUAAGUAGCCCUAUUUUGAGAUGUGAGGUAUCACGAUCUCUUUCAAUAAUGACAGGAAUGGAGGAGGUCUUUAUCCUAGUGAGAUUGCUAAGGCGAACACCGCCAUGUUUAGUUUUGCCCAACCUAGGUCGAGGCACAGACACGGUCUCAAUGGGGAUAGCUGAGCUGACUACACUGACUGUGCUAGUGGCAGACUCCACUAAGCUGGCAGGCUGGCUAACAGCCUGCUGCCUGGCCUGCACCCUAUUUCAUUGUGGAGCUAGAGGAGUUAGAGCCCUGUCUAUGUUGGUAGAUAAGAUGAGAGCACCCCUCCAGCUAGGAUGGAGUCCGUCACUCCUCCGCAGGUCAGGCUUGGUCAUGUUUGUGGGUGAGUCCCAGAAAGAGGGCCAAUUAUCUACAAAUUAUAUCUUUUGGGAGGGGCAGAAAACAGUUUUCAACCAGCGAUUGAGUUAUAAGACUGCUUCAGAGCUCAUCACUCCCCCUAACUGGGAGGGGGCCAGAGACAAUUACUCGAUGCCGACACAUCUUUCUAGCUGAUUUACACGCUGAAGCUAUGUUGCGCUUGGUGACCUCUGACUGUUUCAUCCUAACAUCGCUGGUGCCGACAUGGAUAACAAUAUCUCUAUACUCGCCAGUUUUAGCUUUAGCCAGCACCAUCUUCAGAUUAACCUUAACGUCGGUAGCCCUGCCCCCUGGUAAACAGUGUCUGAUCGCUGGAUGAUUCGUUUUAAGCCUAAUACUGCGAGUAAUGGAGUCGCCAAUGACUUGAGUUUUCAAUUUGUCAGAGCUAAUGGUGGGAAGCUUCUGCAUCUCAGACCCCAUAACGGGAGGAGUAGAGACAAGAGAAGGCUUGGCCUCUGACUCCGACUCGUUGCUUAAUGGGGAAAACCGGUUGAAAUGUUCUGUUGGCUGAAUGAGCGACACCGGCUGAGCAUAGCUAAGUGAAUUAAAUACUACCAGCUACCUAACUUCAUAUUAGCUAGCUAUCUUGAUGUAUUUAUCACUAUAAAAAAUUUAAUUCAAAUGCAUUUGUAGGUAGCUAGCUAACAGCCAUGGAGGAGGGUGAAAGGAUAGCAGCCCCAACUGUCAGUGAGAGAGCAGGCUAUUCUGGAAAGGGCAGGUACUUUUGUGUAGUUCCUGUCCCUAGAAGUGAGGACGGAGGUAAUAGUAACAUAAUAUUUAGUGUGGUGUAAUUUGACUAUAAUGAAGUCUGUUUCUUGUGAGGUUUUCUGUCCUCAGAUAAAAAGCUACAUGAAAGUCAGUCUACAUAUGAAGAGGUCCCAAUGAAGAGCAGUGGUUCUCAGUCCUGGGGACUCAAAAGAGGCACAUUUUUGUUUUUGCCUCAGCACUGCACAGCUGAAUCAAAUGAUCAACUCAUCAUCAAGCUUCAAGUGAUACCUUGUAACGGGAGAUUCCUUCAAAACGAUUGCCUACAGUUACCAGGUAGGGCACUGCAAGGUUGGUUGACCAGGGUCAUCUGGGACUGCCUCCUGGAGGAAAUCAGGUGUGUGAAGGCUACCUGUGUCCUGCGUAACUUCAUGAGGAUGGACACGAGGACCAGGGGCGGAUCCGCAGCUCACCGCCGUGUCCCAGAGGAGAGGUCUGCUGCUCUGAAGGAUGUUUCAAGGAUGGGGUCCAACAACGCAGCAAGAGAGGCAAUCCGUGUGUAGGAAAUCUUCACCUCCUACUUCUUCAAAGAGGGUGCUGUUCCCUGGCAACACCAUAGACUACACUAUGCACAACCAAAGGCUCUUUUAGGAACCAUUCACAUUGCAAUAAGAGUAUUCUUCCAUUUAUUUAGGUAUGUCAACUGCAGUUAUACAAUUCACAGUUUCUCUCCCUUUGAUUUCUACUUCUCAUGUGAGGGUGCAGUUUAGGUAAGGGUGUGAUGUCUAUGCAAAAACAAAACAGGUUAUUUUAAGUCACCCAUAUGUAUCAAUCUGAUUGAUGGAUUGUGUUGUGCAGUAAGCAGGUUCACAUGUAUAACUGUGGCUCCUUCCACCUUCAAAAAUAGGCAAGAGGGCCAACCAUAAUUACGCUAUAAUUGUUUGUCCUUGUGGGUCCGUUCAUAUUUUUCAGCAUAAAGUACUCUGCAGCCACUUAGUGUGGUGUGGACACCAGGUGAGGCCACACACACACAUUCCUGUUGAACACUGUCACUUUAACAACCUUAUUUUCUCCAUAACAGUCUCUCUCCUUCACUUCAUCCCUCUCUCCCCUUCUCCCUAAAUCCUCUAGGUUAUAUCAGCUGUGUCGGUGAACACCUCCUGCAUCUGAACUGUCCACAUCGAGGGCACAGCAAUCCAGCCUUACAUUCUGGCACAGAGACUCAUUCGGGACUUCUCCAUAGACGGGGGGCUGGUUUUGUGGCUGUUGGACUUCCUGAGCCAACACUCACAAUAUGUUUUGAUGUGAGAGGAUGCCAACCCCCAGUCCCAUCAUCGCCACCUCACCUGCUUUUAAGAUAAACAUUGUGCCGACUAGACACUUAUGUAAUUGUGAUGAACUGAGAGAAUAUUUAUGUAGCACUGUGAUUCAUUAAUCCUGUGCUGCCUUCCCUGCUCCUUUGAGCUUAACUCUGUCCCUUUUUGUCUGUAACACCUCUCUCGCCACCUCCUCUUUCUUCCUCUGUUUUUAUAAUGCACAUCAGAUGUGCAUUGAAGUACAGAUUGAACUUGUAUUUAUAACAC